GCUGGACUUGCAUGUGGAAGGAACUGUGUCCAACUCAGGUAUAUCAUACUUUGCAGGUGCUUCCAUACCCUCUACAUCUUUCAAGGACAGCAGACACUUCUCAACUAGCUGUUGUCAAGGAAAUAGACAAUUAAUGACUGCAGAUGUUUCUCACAUGAGGUGGCUGAAUGUGUGGUGAAGAUGACUGCACUCGGGCAGAAGGCAGAGGCUGAGUGCAAAGACCCCACCAGCCCACCCAUGAGGUCAGUGUACUCUUUUACGGCUUUGGAUGAGAUCUCCUUGGGGGCCUUUGUCUUCAGAGCCCGCUGCUGUCGGCGUUGCCUCUGGUUGGAAGCCUUGGCCUUGGGCCCUGACUUUUUUGGAUUGGACACU
rnacentral:lncRNA from 1 species